AUGUGGUUCACUGAGUCGUGGCUAACUGCGCUAACUCCGGACUCACACAUAAACAUGGAUGGUUUUCAUCUGAUCCGGGCCGAGAGAACAGCGGAGAGUGGUAAGAAGAGAGGAGGGGGUCUGGCUGUGUUUGUGAAGGAUAGAUGGUGUAACUCUGGGCAUUUAUCUAUCAAAGAGACGCUAUGCUGUAAGGACAUUGAGCUGCUAGCGGUUAGCAUGAGACUGUACUAUCUACCGCGAGAGUUUAAACACGUUAUUGUGAUAGCUGUGUAUGUCCCGCCCUCUGCUAACGCUGCAGCAGCCUGUGAGGUCCUGCACACUGUAACCAGCAGACUCCAAACACAGCACCCUCAGGCCCUUUUCCUGAUCUCUGGGGACUUUAAUCACAUCUCCCUGUCCUCCACUCUCCCCACCUUCACCCAGUAUGUUACCUGCCACACCAGAGACAAUAAAACAUUGGACUUAUUGUAUGCCAACACCAAGGAGGCAUACAGCUCCUCACCUCUCCCUCCCCUGGGGGGCUCAGAUCACAAUCUGGUUCAUCUCCAGCCUGUGUAUAAACCUCUAGUACACAGAGAACCAGUUGUGAAACGCACAGUAAGGAAAUGGUCAGCAGAGACUGAAGAGGCCCUGAGGGACUGUUUCUGUUCUACUGUGUGGGACAACCUCUGCAGGCCCCUGGAGGAUGACCUCAACAGCAUCACAGACUGCAUUACGGAUUACAUGAACUUCUGUAUGGACAACACCGUACCCAUCAUAAAGGUACGGUGUUUUUCUAACAACAAGCCAUGGAUAAAUCCUGAAAUUAAGGCUCUCCUCAAGGAGAAGAAGAGAGUCUUUAGAUCUGGAGACAAACAGGAGCUGAGAGUUGUCCAGAAGAAGCUGAAAUGGAAGAUAAGGCAGGGAAAGGAAAACUACAGGAGGAAGAUGGAAGCAGCUGCAACAGGACCACCACAUGUCCCAGUGGAUACUGGACUACCUCACAGAACGCCCACAGUAUGUGAGGUGACAGGGCUGUGUCUCUGA
rnacentral:lncRNA from 1 species